rnacentral:rRNA from 1 species
AGUGAACGCUGGCGGUAGGCCUAACACAUGCAGGUCGAACGGCAGCACAGUAAGAGCUUGCUCUUACGGGUGGCGAGUGGCGGACGGGUGAGGAAUACAUCGGAAUCUACUUUUUCGUGGGGGAUAACGUAGGGAAACUUACGCUAAUACCGCAUACGACCUACGGGUGAAAGCAGGGGAUCUUCGGACCUUGCGCGAUUGAAUGAGCCGAUGUCGGAUUAGCUAGUUGGCGGGGUAAAGGCCCACCAAGGCGACGAUCCGUAGCUGGUCUGAGAGGAUGAUCAGCCACACUGGAACUGAGACACGGUCCAGACUCCUACGGGAGGCAGCAGUGGGGAAUAUUGGACAAUGGGCGCAAGCCUGAUCCAGCCAUACCGCGUGGGUGAAGAAGGCCUUCGGGUUGUAAAGCCCUUUUGUUGGGAAAGAAAAGCAGCAGGUUAAUACCCCGCUGUUCUGACGGUACCCAAAGAAUGAGCACCGGCUAACUUCGUG